rnacentral:lncRNA from 1 species
CACACCACAACACAGUACAGACUGCACCAUCUAACCCUCUGUAAGGCCACCACACCACAACACAGUACAGACUGCAGCAUCUAACCCUCUGUAAGGCCACCACAACACAGUACAGACUGCAGCAUCUAACCCUCUGUAAGGCCACCACACCACAACACAGUACAGACUGCAGCAUCUAACCCUCUGUAAGGCCACCACAACACAGUACAGACUGCACCAUCUAACCCUCUGUAAGGCCACCACAACACAACACAGUACAGACUGCAGCAUCUAACCCUCUGUAAGGCCACCACAACACAGUACAGACUGCAGCAUCUAACCCUCUGUAAGGCCACCACAACACAGUACAGACUGCACCAUCUAACCCUCUGUAAGGCCACCACACCACAACACAGUACAGACUGCACCAUCUAACCCUCUGUAAGGCCACCACACCACAA